ACACAAUCAAACUGUCAGUAGCAUAUGAAGAACAGAAAGGGUGGAGAAGAUGAACACACGGCGGAAUAGAUGGAGGCUCACGGCGGCUCAGCCGAAGCUUCCCGGCGGCCGGAGACCAUUUUUCCAGAAUCGGAAAUUUUUCACAUCAUCUCGCUCGGUUUCGUCCCGCGGUUACAAAUCCGAAGUUAGUUUUACAAAAAAGUUAAUCAAAAUUAGUAGAUCUACAAAGAAGUUUGAAAGUUCUAAACUUAAAAUGUAGCACAAUUAGUGCAAGAAUCACGAAAGUAAAGAGGAAUUCGGGUUCAGAAGAUGGAAGGCAACCUUUUAGUGUCAAGAACUUAAAGAACGGCGGAGGUUAAGAGCUCCGGCGCGGUGGUUCAGUGUUUUCCGGCGAGGGAGUUUGAAGUUCCGGCGAGGAUUUUUGAGCUCAGGUGAUUUUUUGGUAUUUGUUCUGAUUUGUCAGUCUGAAAAGGUCUGAGCCAAAGGUCCCUUGUGUCAGUCUCAAUCAAUGCUUUUAUAGAGUCAGAAUUCUUGGGUUUAUGCUGAGUUUCCUCUUCUGGGUUUUUUUUGAUUUGAAAUCGGUUCCUCUUAUCUUGCUAAGGCCCAUACGAAAAUCUCUUCUUCAAUCCCCAGUUUUUUAUUUGCAAUGUUUUUUUUUUGCAGUUUCUGAAAAGAGCAUUGGGCUCAAGUUGUGACAAACUUGGAUCGGGAAGUUGUGGAAGUCCAAUUUGGCUCUGCAACCUAAAUCCGAAAAUCAUCAAGUUAUUCCAAUUUUAUUUUUUUGCACUCGUGUUGCUUGGAUGCUGGAUGGGCCUGGAUUUGUACUUUGGUGAGGAGGUGAACCCGAUGCCAAACCAUGAAGCUUAGAAGAAAAUGGUAGACUUGUGAAGUUGUAAACCAAGAGUUUUGCCAUGAAUUUGUUCUUUGAAUCUUAGACCAUAGGAAAUCUCAAAUUAUGCUUCUUGUAGGAUAAGAAACUUUGUAAUUUGGUAUAGGAACCUUGAAUCCAUCUUGUAUUUUUGAAGCUUUAACUUGAAGAAAAUUGGAUUCUUUGAAUGGAAUGAGGACUCUUGUUUUGAACCUUGUAAUCCUUGAAGUAUUUUGGAGUUGAAACUUGUAUGUUGAAAGACAUUGAAUCGAAA